rnacentral:rRNA from 1 species
CCUACGGGGUGCAGCAGUGGGGGAUAUUGCACAAUGGGGGCAACCCUGAUCCAGCCACGCCGCGUGAGCGAAGAAGUACCUCGGUAUGUAAAGCUCUAUCAGCAGGGAAGAAAAUGACGGUACCUGACUAAGAAGCCCCGGCUAAAUACGUGCCAGCAGCCGCGGUAAUACGUAGGGGGCAAGCGUUAUCCGGAUGUACUGGGUGUAAAGGGAGCGUAGGCGGCCUGCCAAGUCUGGUGUGAAAACCCGGGGACCAACCCCGGGCCUGCAUUGGAAACUGGUGGGCUGGAGUGUAGGAGGGGCAGGCGGAAUGUCUAGUGUAGCGGUGAAAUGCGUAGAUAUUAGGAGGAACACCGAUGGCGAAGGCGGCCUGCUGGACGAUGACUGACGCUGAGGCACGAAAGCGUGGGGAGCAAACAGGAUUAGAUACCCGGGUAGUC